GAUUUCAGCUGAAAAAGUCAAUUCAACAAUAAAGUUAUAUAACUCGUCAAGAUCUAUAACUUCUAUUUUGAUCAUUUCUUCAUCUGACAAAGUGAUCGUAACAUAUUCUUAAAAUUUACAUAUCUCUCUUAUAGUUUUAUGUACAUUUUGUAAGCAAUGUUACAAAUCACUUUGUCGGAUGAAGAAAUGACCAAAAUAGAAGUUAUAGAUCUUGAUGAGUUAUACAAUUUUGUUGUUGAUGACUUUUUCAGUUGAAAUC
rnacentral:pre_miRNA from 1 species